GACAUAUAUGCAGUUCAACUUGGAAAUGCUGUUGGCAUCAGCCUUCAAAGACCCAAAUAAGGAUCCUUCAGAGAAACACUUCAGCGUGACCUGGUACCCACUCACAGCCCCUGAUUGUUGCUCAAGAGCUAAAAGUGAUUUCUGUUCAAUAAUGUAAUAUCUGAGCACACGGCCGUGGAGAGGAGACAUUCUGAGGAGAGAUGAGGCGAGGAUAAGAUGAGAAGCUCUGAAGGGAUCCUGCGGGAAUAAUGAUCCGAGGCUGCACAUGAGCCCUGUGAACCCAACAGCAACAUCGCCUUGAUGAAUCUACAGACUGCAGGUCGUGGCAGGGUCAGGGGUCACAGAGGGUGCUUCUGUCUGACCUUUGCCACUGAGUCUCACUGAUAACCUCCAGCA